AACAUGGUUUACUGAAUAUUUUAAGCCUACUGUUUAGAUAUAUUGCUCAGGAAAAAAAUUCGUUUCAAAAUAUGUUUGUAAUAUCUUGUAAUGCACCUGGUCACCUGAGCUCUGAUGGAGGUGUACAGCAAGAUUAAAGUUGUUUUCAUGCCUGCUGACAUAACAUCCAUUCUGCAACCCAUGGAUCGAGGAGUAAUUUUGACUUUCAAGUCUUGUUAUUUAAAAAAAUGUUUUUCA